rnacentral:lncRNA from 1 species
GGACCUCCACCCCGGCUAGGGCACUUUCCUUCUGAGCCUUCACCUCACUCAGGUGAGCUUGAAGCCCCUCAAAAUCAGCCUUUAAGGCCUCAUGUUGGCGCUGGACCUCGGUUUUUUGGCCAACAGCCUCAUCCCUCUCCUGAAGGGCCGUUGUCAUAGAGGACAGCUGUUUUACAACCUCUACACAACGAGCUUCCACUUCAGCUGCCCUCUCAUCAGACUCCUGGAGAACCCUGCGAGUACGAGACAGCUCUGAUUCCAGGGAUUUGCUAUGCUCCGCCGCCUCAACCGCUCUGUCCUCAGCUCUUUUAGAGGUUUCCAGUGCAGAAUGUAACUCCACCUGGAGAGACUGGAUCUGCUCCCG